GUUCACAAUGGCUCACACCCCAAAUCCAGAAUCCCCAUUGCUCAAGCUCCCCCGCUUCUUCUCUCUCAAAGCCGACAAUGGUAAGUACCUCAUGCUCAAGUCCGAUGGCACCCUUGCAUUCGAGUCCGACACCACCACCCGGUACACCACACACGAGGCGGUCUACAAUGCCAAUGAUUCCAACGCCUCCUUCGUCAUUUGCUCCGCCAACAAGCACUUCUGGCGCCGCCACUCCUCCACCUCUGCCGUGGUAGCCGACCUCAAGAACCCGCCCAGCGACACCGAUGCCUCAAACCGGUUCAAGCUCCAGCCCGAGGUCGCCCCAGGAAAGGUGGCACUCUCCUCCGUCCAAGACGGUCUCUUCCUCAAGCGCUUCAACACCCAGUACCGCGCGUUGCUCGAGGAGCCCAAUGAGAUCUUUGCCAUGGUAGAAGUGGUGGAGUCGUCCUACUACGUUGUCAACAUGCCCGAGUACGUGGGUUUCAAAGGUAGCAAUGCCAAAUACCUCACGUGCUUGGUCGAUUACCCUGUCAUACUGGAUCCGUUCGCGCUCACAGAAGAAUCUGCUGACGUUCGUCUUACCACCCACCAGGUACUGCUGUUUUCGUCUUUCAUCUGCUUGCUUCCAUUCGCAGCCCCCUUACCAGGUGGAGUAUCUCCUGAACGGCAAGAUAGCUCUUCGAUCCAACCAAGCCGCCUCCUGGACUUCAAACAAUUACUGGAAGGCGUCCCAGUGGAUUACACCGGACGGUGACACUCCCGACCACCCUGAAUGCCAGUUCGAUCCAGUCCGAGUGAACAGCACCACAGUUGCUCUCAAGAGUGCCAAUGGCCUCUACUGCAAGCGUGGAAGCCCGUCCUUCACCAACGCUCCGGACGCGAUCUUUGCUGAGGCAUCCGACUACGAGGAAACGUCAAGCCACCUCGUGGUCGAAGAAGCUGUGAUGAGCAGGCAAAUCUUUAACGUGACUUACCUGCUAGAUCUGGCGAGUGCAAGCGAGGAGGAGCCAAUCGGUGUCGCCUAUGGAUCUGCCACGAACAAGGGCAGUGAGCCUGCAGAGAUGGAGAUCAGCGUGAGCAAGACCACCACAGUGAGCAACACCAGGUCCUUCCACAACUCGUUCACCUUCUCCCAGAGCAUCACGCAGACUUUGACGCUCGGUGUGCCGUUCUUUGCCGACGAGAGCACCGAGAUCCAGAUCGGAGCCGAGCAAGAGUUUGGAAACCAGUGGGACGAGACUUUGUCCGAGGAAGUCGCUUAUCAGACGACUUACAAAGUGACGAUUCCUCCAGGGAAAACGGUACGUAUGAGAAUUUGCCUGUGCGCCUUUGCUCGAUUGAUUAACUGACAUCCUCUGCUAUCCAUCCAGGGAACUGUGCAGGUUGUGAUCAGCACUGCGAAACUGGCCGUCCCGUUCCACUACAAGACGAGGGACACGUCGCUCAAUGGUGUGGAGCGUGAGCCUGUGGAUCGCAUCGACGGUGUCUUUGAUGGUGUGCUGGCUUACAGGACUGAUGCGGAGAUAUAUGACGGUACCAAGACAUACCGCAUCCCUGUUCCCAUGAAACUCAACGUUACGAAAUAGAACACUCUACCUUGGUGAUAAUAAGAACUAAAAGAUCCGUACAAUCGCGAGUUAUAAAUAAAUCUGUACUAACACUGAAAAAUAUCCAUCCGCAUUCAUAUUUCGCGAACACCGUAUAGUAAAUCCAUACUUGAGAAAUGCCAGAUUCACCAACUUUUGUAUGAAUUCUAGGGACCCUCAACUUUGCAUCCACCUAUGAUUUUAUCCUUACACUUAUUUAUAAAAACAAAAUAUUUGGAGCAUUGCCUUGAACGGCGAUCUAAAACUAAAACUUUCGAAAGAAGACCAGUUCGAUCCAGUCCGAGUGAAGAGGACCACAAUCUCUCUUAAGGGACCAACGGCCUCUCCUGUACGUGGAAGCAACACUCCGGACUUGGUUUUGGCGGUCGAAGAAGCUGUGAGGAGCAGGCAAAUCUUCAACGUGACGUACCUGCUAGAUCUGGCGAGUGCGAGCGAACCUAUGGACCUGCCACGAACAAAGGAAGCGCGCCUCCUCGGAUACAGUGUCUGGUUUCCGAGCUCCUCCUCGGCUCCGAUUUCGAUCUCGGUGCUCUCAUCGGCAAAGAACGGCACACCGUUCGUCAAAGUCUGCGUGAUGCUCUGGGAGAAGGUGUACGAGUUGUGGAAGGAUGCUCACUGGUGUGGUCUUGCUGCAUCUCUGAAGUCACGCACCAGACGUCUUACACAGUCACGAUCCGCUCCAGGGAAAACGGGGAAAACGGUACGUAAAAGACUGAGCCUGUGCGCCUCUGGUCGACUGAUUAGCUCACAUCCGUCGGUAUCCAGGGAACUGUGUAGGUGGUGAUCAGCAUUGAUCCCGUUCCAUGGAUGCAUCGACGGUGUCUUUGAUGGUGUGUUGGCUUUCAGGACAGAUAAAUCAUUCCCUGUUCCCAUGAAGCUAAAGGGUACGAAAUAGGCCUACCUUGGUGGUAAUAAGAAAUAGAAUAAAACGAUGCUGGAUCACAUCACAAGUUAUACAGAAAACACUCGUUACUCAUGGCUCCAUCUGUAGCAAGAUUGUAAGACUGGGAAAAUGUCCGAUAGAAAAAUAAGCUUACUGCCCAUAUUUAUCCUUCAUUUUCUCGGCGAUGCGAUCCGCAUUCUUGCUUGCUCUUCGGACGUCUUUCGCGGCCCUGAAAUAGCAACACCCCAUGAAUCAAUAGCCAAAGAAUACUCAAAGGAACCCAUACAAGUCGACACUCAAUCUUUGAAGAGCAAUAGAUCGCCGUUCAAAACUCUCCUGCGGUCCUUCCGAGUUUUUAAGCUGGCGAGCCAGGCUCCCGAAGAAGACCCCCAACACCUUCACAGAACGACAAUUUAGUUAGCCAAACUUUUAGCUAUACCACAUAGUUUGCAAACCUCGGCAACGACCAGGAAGUAAAACGCCCAUGAAACACGUCCGAUAAACGACUCCACCUACAUUCACAAUCACCUACAAUAAAAAGAUACGAUAAGCCCAAGCUCGUGAAUAACAUGUACCUCAUUCGCACUAAAGCGUUUAGAUCGAAAACUUCUCGCCACUUUCUCUCUCUGCGACAAGCGAGUGAAGCUGAGCCCAAAGUGAAAAGGUGAUGCGUACGUUCGAAAAUGAGGCCAACGAGUACACGAUGGAUCCAAGAGCAGCAAAACAAUUGAAGACGAUAUUUAUCCAGAAGCAAGGACCGACUGUCCUUCCUAUGCCUGAAGCACCAGCCACAAUCGUUACCCCUCCAAGAAUUAUAAGAAGCCUACGCAAAUAAAACAAGAAGUUAGAUUCCCAGAACAAAUAAUUACAUCACUGCAACUGACCACCCAGGCGAAAAGUUGGGACUCCCUCCUUGUAUGACCGGAACCAUUAUAACAAUCAAGCCUCCGCACACCUAGGUAGCUGAAGAAAUCAAUAAACGAGCCCCCAACAAAAGAAAACAAAUCCGUGUACCAGAAUGAAAAGAUGUAGCAGGUUCAGAGCCCAAUCUAUCGCCGUAAGCGUCUUCAUAUCUGAACAGAGAACUUAGUCUCGCAAAGAAAAUUUCGAAAGCGUACAGAACCUGAUCGGAUCCGAAAGGCUGUUUUCAUCUCCAAAAUUCUCCCCCGAACUUCCCCUGCCAUGUCAUUAGCUCAUACACGACACGCAGUAGUAUUAAAAACAUCCGACUUGUUGUCCGAGUGAGAAAAAAAAAGUCGGGCCUAAAGCUUCAACAAAUACAGCCCAGUUUACAAUUAGAAAAGCAGCUACAAUUAUAGUAAAAUAUACAAACAGCAAGUCUUAGCUCUGGUGCGCUCCAACUCACGACUGAGAUGCAACGUACGUCUGAUACGGGGAGCUGCGAGUGCCAGCCCCGUUACCACUCGUGGAACUAUUCCCUCCCUGCGCUCUGAAAGAAAGAGGUGGGAAGUCCUCUUCUUUCAUUUGGUAAGCCCUCUGGUUUUGCCUGAAGUAGCAAAACGAGUUUCAGUGGCCAGAAUAAUCGAUAAAACGUUUUGGUACCUUUGCUGGUCAUUCGGGGAGGACGGCUGUUGUCUAUCUUGACCCGCAGCCUGCUGCCCCUUAGAGCUCACACGAACGGCUCCAAGCUCAGAGCCCUGCACCGCCCCAAGCGUCCCAAACUCAAGCGGUUCGUUGGACGGGUAUACAACAAUCGACGUGUUCCCAUUGCCGUUCAUAUACACCUGAGAAUAAGCUUGCAGGGUUGCAGGGGGUUCCAAAAGUACGGUUGCAGGGGGUACGCGGCUCUACGUCCGAUUCCGCCGGCGCGCGGGCCUCGAGGCCACCUACACGGAGAUUUGCGAUGGAUUGUUCGUGGGGCGUGGCCAUUCCAGCGCGAUCACAUCCCUCCGGGCAGUCCCGCGGUCGUGGAUUGCACCAACGAGCUACCCAGGACGGUGGGAUUGGAGCUUCCCUAUGUGUGCAUCCCGGCCUGGGAUACCAGAUCGCCAUCGCCGGAGGGCAUCGAGCUAGCCGUGCGCUGGGCUCUCGUCAAGCGCUCCCAGAACCAUCCCAUUCUCAUCCACUGUGCCAAAGGUAGGCUUCCCCAUCACUCUUUUUUCUUUCUUUCUUCUUUUGCCAUAGCUAGGCCUAGUUGAAAAACAAUGUUUUGAUUGUCUUCUUUCAGCAUUCUUUCGAUUGGCAUUUUGUUCCUCUGCAUUGAUGAUCUUUCCCUCUUUCUUCCCCGGAUUUUUAUCGACGCGCAUUGAGCGUGCUUUAGUUUUCAUCUUGGCUGGCGGGGUGGGCCUUAGACGAUUUGGAUGCUUGUCGUUCGUGCACAGGUCAUGGGCGUAGUGUGGCUGUUACGUGCGCGCUGCUGGUGGCAUUGGGCGUGGUGGGCGACUGGAAGGAAGGCGAGAGCCUGAUCAAGAGACAUCGCCCACGGAUCCGUCUCAAUGCAGCGCAAAGGAAAUCUCUUCAAGAAUGGCGUAAGUCUCAAACAGAGAACCUCUUUACGUCUCUCUCGCUCUAUAGAUACCGGGGUUGAUUUUUAUUCUUGUGUUAUGUAUCAGAGCUUCGGCGGUAUUGAUAUGUUAGCAGAUGGUCUUCGUAUUUGUUGAUACUGAACCUUGAAACCGAGCUAAUGUGUUUUCUCCUCGUGAAAUAUACUUCUCUUAGUACUGAUUUUAGACAAGCUUUAUUAGAUAUUUGGGAUAUUUGUCACUUUGAUUCAUGAGGUAUUUUUCUAAGCUGGUUCAUGUGAAAUAUUUAUAUACUUUUCUUAGUAUUGAUUUUAGACAAGCUUUAUUAGACAUUUGUCUUGCUCACUUUGAUCUAGGAGGUAUUAUUCUAGAGCUGGUUCAACAGCCAUUACUUCUGGAUGCACCGUGCUCCCCAGCUUUGCAGGAAAUGGCCAAACGCAUGAAGCUCGAGAGCUCUUUGAUGCCAUUCCCGAAGAGAUGAAACCCCUGUUCUUGGGCAACCCUUUGGCUGAUAGAAAGGCUAGGCUCCAGAGGACUUAAUUUUCUUAAUUUAAUCGAAAGCUCCCAUGUGUUUCAAUGUGGUGCAAACUCUCCUCAGCCGCUAACUCUAGCUAAGGUGGCAAACUUCAGCAACAGCUAGUAGAAAAUUCACAGCUGUGAAGACUUCCCGUUUUUCUAUAUCGAACCUGUCUAUGUCUACUGUAACUUACGUCAUCUCGCAUAUAACUGAGGCAGACGUACCAUCUUACUACGAGCAUUUAAGCGGAGAUCAUAUCAUCCUCCCUAAAUAGCACUAUCUCUCCCAAUCUAAGCCCAAGUUACUCCUGUCCACAAUGGUUCACAUCCCAAAUCCAGAUUCCCCUGUUCUCAAGCUCCCCCGCUUCUUCUCUCUCAAAGCCGACAAUGGUAAGUACCUCAUGCUCAAGUCCGAUGGCACCCUUGCAUUCGAGUCCGACACCACCACCCGAUACACCACACACGAGGCGGUCUACAAUGCCAAUGAUUCCAACGCCUCCUUCGUCAUUUGCUCCGCCAACAAGCACUUCUGGCGCCGCCACUCCUCCACCUCUGCCGUGGUAGCCGACCUCAAGAACCCGCCCAGCGACACCGAUGCCUCAAACCGGUUCAAGCUCCAGCCCGAGGUCGCCCCAGGAAAGGUGGCACUCUCCUCCGUCCAAGACGGUCUCUUCCUCAAGCGCUUCAACACCCAGUACCGCGCGUUGCUCGAGGAGCCCAAUGAGAUCUUUGCCAUGGUAGAAGUGGUGGAGUCGUCCUACUACGUUGUCAACAUGCCCGAGUACGUGGGUUUCAAAGGUAGCAAUGCCAAAUACCUCACGUGCUUGGUCGAUUACCCUGUCAUACUGGAUCCGUUCGCGCUCACAGAAGAAUCUGCUGACGUUCGUCUUACCACCCACCAGGUACUGCUGUUUUCGUCUUUCAUCUGCUUGCUUCCAUUCGCAGCCCCCUUACCAGGUGG
rnacentral:lncRNA from 1 species